UACGGAGGAUGCAAGCGUUAUCCGGAAUGAUUGGGCGUAAAGCGUCUGUAGGUGGUUUUUGAAGUCUUCUGUUAAAGAUCAGGGCUCAACCCUGUUUAGGCAGUGGAAACUGAUAACCUAGAGUACGGUAGGGGAAGAGGGAAUUCCCGGUGUAGCGGUGAAAUGCGUAGAUAUCGGGAAGAACACCGGCGGCGAAAGCGCUCUGCUGGGCCGAAACUGACACUGAGAGACGAAAGCUAGGGGAGCGAAAGGG
rnacentral:rRNA from 1 species